AAAGGAAUUGACGGGGGCCCGCACAAGCGGUGGAGCAUGUGGUUCAAUUCGACGCAACGCGCAGAACCUUACCUGGGUUAAAUCCACUCGAACCUUGCAGAGAUGCGGGGGUGCUCUUCGGAGAGCGAGUGAGAAGGUGCUGCAUGGCUGUCGUCAGCUCGUGUCGUGAGAUGUUGGGUUAAGUCCCGCAACGAGCGCAACCUCUGUCGUUAGUUGCCAGCAUUAAGUUGGGCACUCUAACGAGACUGCCGCCGUCAAGGCGGAGGAAGGCGGAGAUGACGUCAAGUCCUCAUGGCCCUUAUGUCCAGGGCUACACACGUGCUACAAUGGAUACUACAAAGGGUCGCAAAGCCGCGAGGUGGAGCCAAUCUCAAAAAAGUAUCCUCAGUUCGGAUUGCAGUCUGCAACUCGACUGCAUGAAGCUGGAAUCGCUAGUAAUCCCUGAUCAGCAGGCAGGGGUGAAUACGUUCCCGGGCCUUGUACACACCGCCCGU
rnacentral:rRNA from 1 species